rnacentral:rRNA from 1 species
UGGGGAAUAUUGGACAAUGGGCGAAAGCCUGAUCCAGCCAUGCCGCGUGUGUGAAGAAGGUCUUCGGAUUGUAAAGCACUUUAAGUUGGGAGGAAGGGCCAUUACCUAAUACGUGAUGGUUUUGACGUUACCGACAGAAUAAGCACCGGCUAACUCUGUGCCAGCAGCCGCGGUAAUACAGAGGGUGCAAGCGUUAAUCGGAAUUACUGGGCGUAAAGCGCGCGUAGGUGGUUUGUUAAGUUGGAUGUGAAAUCCCCGGGCUCAACCUGGGAACUGCAUUCAAAACUGACUGACUAGAGUAUGGUAGAGGGUGGUGGAAUUUCCUGUGUAGCGGUGAAAUGCGUAGAUAUAGGAAGGAACACCAGUGGCGAAGGCGACCACCUGGACUGAUACUGACACUGAGGUGCGAAAGCGUGGGGAGCAAACAGGAUUAGAUACCCGGGUAGUCCCUGAGCGGGCUGGCAAGGCGCAU